CUCGGCACGCAACGACAGACUGUGUGACAAUAUUCGACAAAUAUUCAACAGGUUACAGUCGCACGCGGGACGCGGAGUUAUUUCAAUAAAUGGCUCGGCUGCAACCAGUAAUGAUUGAGAAAUAAAUUUACCCAUAUUCUAAAAUGGCAACUACUAGCUACCACCUGUGGCGGUGAUACACGAACACGAACAGUGACGGACCGAUGUCACUUUUCAAAUUGGACUCGCUUCAUCAUGUCCGUAACUCGUCGGUGUUCCGGCUUUUGUCUUUUUCAUUGCAUUUGUGUUUUAAAGGCUAUAUUUCCAUUCUAAUGUUGUUCGGCGAGAGGUAAAAUAAACUACAGCCACAUAGCCCAAUCCGAAUGAA